rnacentral:tRNA from 2 species
GCCGGGGUGGCGAAACUGGUAGACGCGCCAGACUCAAAAUCUGGUUGGGGAAACUCAGUGUCGGUUCGAUUCCGACCCUCGGCACCA